GAGGAGGUGAGGAAGAGGAGGUGAGGAAGAGGAGGUGAAGAAGAGGAGGUGAGGAAGAGGAGGUGAAGAAGAGGAGGUGAAGAAGAGGAGGUGAGGAAGAGGAGGUGAAGAAGAGGAGGUGAAGAAGAGGAGGUGAGGAAGAGGAGGUGAGGAAGAGGAGGUAGAGUCCGUUGGUCCAACAAGUCUUCAGUCCCUCCUUUAUGGGUUAAUUGUUGGUUUUACCUCGUUAAGGACCUUUGUGUCCAGGCAGCGUUUUUCCAACCAGAAGUGCACAAACCAGUUUUUAAUCGCCGAACACUGAACAGCAACGUGUAGAUUUUAUGAAUUUAUGAACUUUGGAGGUUUUCUGGGCAAAAAAUAAAGACACUGUUUGCAUUGCAGGGAAAUGAGCUGGAUUUUCAUUCAUCUGUUAAACGUAUCAGUGAAGUUUUUAUGUUUCCUGGUCGGAUCCUCUCGGUGGGUUAACCCUCCUGACGGUCACACUGACCCGUUUAAAGUCUGAAAAUGUGGAGGAAAAAAAUUCACAGUGAACUUCUGAUGUUCACUUUUUCAACAUUUUUGGGAAAUCUCUGAACAUUUUUGGAGAAAAAAGGAAAUGUUAAAAAUGUUUCUUUAGAACAUUAACAUAAAAAU